rnacentral:rRNA from 1 species
GGCUGUCCGAGUUGUAAUCUAGAGAAGUGUUAUCCGCGCUGGACCGUGUACAAGUCUCCUGGAAUGGAGCGUCAUAGAGGGUGAGAAUCCCGUCUUUGACACGGACUGCCAGGGCUUUGUGAUGCGCUCUCAAAGAGUCGAGUUGUUUGGGAAUGCAGCUCAAAAUGGGUGGUAAAUUCCAUCUAAAGCUAAAUAUUGGCGAGAGACCGAUAGCGAACAAGUACCGUGAGGGAAAGAUGAAAAGAACUUUGGAAAGAGAGUUAAACAGUACGUGAAAUUGCUGAAAGGGAAACGCUUGAAGUCAGUCGCGUUGUCCAGGGAUCAACCUUGCUGUUGCUUGGUGUACUUUCUGGUUAACGGGUCAGCAUCAAUUUUGAUCAUUGGAAAAAGGUUAGGGGAAUGUGGCAUCUUUGGAUGUGUUAUAGCCCUUGAUUGUAUACAAUGGUUGGGAUUGAGGAACUCAGCACGCCGCAAGGCCGGGUUUUUAACCACGUACGUGCUUAGGAUGCUGGCAUAAUGGCUUUAAUCGACCCGUCUUGAAACACGGACCAAGGAGUCUAACAUGCCUGCGAGUGUUUGGGUGGAAAACUCGAGCGCGUAAUGAAAGUGAAAGUUGAGAUCCCUGUCGUGGGGAGCAUCGACGCCCGGACCAGACCUUUUGUGACGGUUCCGCGGUAGAGCAUGUAUGUUGGGACCCGAAAGAUGGUGAACUAUGCCUGAAUAGGGUGAAGCCAGAGGAAACUCUGGUGGAGGCUCGUAGCGAUUCUGACGUGCAAAUCGAUCGUCAAAUUUGGGUAUAGGGGCGAAAGAC